GACGAACGCUGGCGGUGUGCUUAACACAUGCAAGUGGAGCGACGAACCAGGGCUUGCCCUGGGGCAGAGCCGCGAACGGGUGAGUAACACGUGGGUAACGUACCCCGAUCACCGGGACAACCCGAGGAAACUCGGGCUAAUACCGGAUGUGUCCGUGAAUCAUGAGGUUCACGUGCAAAGGAAGCUUCGGCCUCCGGAUCGGGAGCGGCCCGCGGCCCAUUAGUUAGUUGGUGGGGUAAUGGCCUACCAAGACCGCGAUGGGUAGCUGGUCUGAGAGGACGAUCAGCCACACUGGGACUGAGACACGGCCCAGACUCCUACGGGAGGCAGCAGUGGGGAAUCUUGCGCAAUGCGCGAAAGCGUGACGCAGCAACACCGCGUGAGGGAAGACGGCCUUCGGGUUGUAAACCCCUUUCAGGAGGGACGAAGCUUCGACGGUUAAUAGCCGGCUGGAGUGACGGUACCUUCAGAAGAAGCCCCGGCUAACUACGUGCCAGCCGCCGCAGUAAUAC
rnacentral:rRNA from 1 species